GAGGGUACAGCUCAGUGGUAGAGUGCACGCUUAGCAUGCAUGAGGUCCUGGGUUCCAUCCCCAGGGCCUUCU
rnacentral:tRNA from 1 species